UAAAGCAACAUCACUGCUCCUUCACUUCUCACUCAUUCACUGGAAAUAUGAUGGCACAAACUCUCAUCUGCUCUCUAACGCUUUUAUUUACAGGUUGUUUUGGUGAGAUUAUUCUCACUCAGAGUCCCACCGUUCAGAUGGUGUCAGUAGGAGAGAGCGUCACUCUCAACUGUAGAUCCAGCAGUUCAGUUUCUACUUAUUUAGCCUGGUAUCAUCAAAAACCUGGACAAACACCCAAACUCCUUUUCUCUAGUGUUGGUAGCCGAGUGUCUGGAGUGUCUGAGAGAUUUACUGAUGGAAGAUCAAACACAAACUUCAUGCUGAAUAUCAGAAAUGUUCAGACUGAAGAUGCAGGAGAUUAUUACUGUCAACAGCAUUAUGAGUUUCCACUCACAUAGUGAUACAGCGCCGUCCAAAAACCUCCUUCAGUCAAAGAGGAACUACAGACACACUAUAGUCUCUGUCAAUAUGAUAAAUAAACAGUUUUAACACUAACAUUUCACCCUCAACACUACUUCACCGUCGCCAUCAGACAAAAAUCUAUUUUUCAUAUUUUUUCCAUAAAAACGUUUGUCUGUGGGCUUUUAAUGUUUAACCAAUGAAAGUAUUAAAAGCUUGUCAGCUUUGACUUUGUUUAUUAAAAAAAUUACAAUGUUUUUGUGAUGAUAUGAAACUGUGUGUCCACAUUCAGAAAUGAUUCUUGAUAUUGUGUCAUUAAAGAUAA